rnacentral:rRNA from 1 species
GGAAACCCAGUGUGACUCGUCACACUAUCAUUAACUGAAUCCAUAGGUUAAUGAGGCGAACCGGGGGAACUGAAACAUCUAAGUACCCCGAGGAAAAGAAAUCAACCGAGAUUCCCCCAGUAGCGGCGAGCGAACGGGGAGGAGCCCAGAGCCUGAAUCAGCAUGUGUGUUAGUGGAAGCGUCUGGAAAGGCGCGCGAUACAGGGUGACAGCCCCGUACACAAAAGCGCAUGUGCUGUGAGCUCGAUGAGUAGGGCGGGACACGUGGUAUCCUGUCUGAAUAUGGGGGGACCAUCCUCCAAGGCUAAAUACUCCUGACUGACCGAUAGUGAACCAGUACCGUGAGGGAAAGGCGAAAAGAACCCCGGCGAGGGGAGUGAAAAAGAACCUGAAACCGUGUACGUACAAGCAGUGGGAGCCCCACCACCAAAGCGUUUCGCUUUGUGUGGUGCACAAAGAAGCGUAACGACAGCACUGAAUGACGGUUAACGGAGCGCAAGCGACGUUCAACAUACAAAGUCAAGCAGUGGAGCGCUUUGGGGUGGGGUGAC